rnacentral:lncRNA from 1 species
UCCAAAGCCUCAGCGAGGCUCCAUUUGACUGUUGUAAGAUCAGAAUGAGCAUGCAGACCCACUGAGUUGACUGGCAAAGCUUUACUAUGGAUAACCACAGAUGCAACCGCAUGCUGUGUCUUUAGGAAAAUGGGAGCAAGUGGAUUGUGUCAGAUGUCCAAAUGGUAACCAUCACCUACUCAACUGGAGGAGACUAUUUUUGUGCCCGAUUUGCUUGCUGGAAACUGCAGAACUUCAAUGUCUGCAGUGAAAAUGGAAAGAAAAGAAAACCAGUUGUCUGCCUUGGUGAUGAGAGCAGAAAGUCAAGAGCAGCAAUAUAGGCAGCUAACAAGCAUUUAAUGGUGAGGGAACAAGAGAAGGGAGGAAAGGCAGGGGGCUCAAGGUCAUGGCCAAGAUAUGUUUUUCCUACUCAGAAUUAGGUCUGGGCCUGACCAUGUUCCUAUAGACCAAAUUCUGUCCUCCAGAAAUAGGUACAGUGACCCACACAUAAAAGGCAUUAUAAGCAAAUGAGGUGCCUCUUUAAUUCUUCGAUGAGCUCUAAAAGUUAUCUUUACAGUUUAGUUAUAGUCAGAGCAACUGUUAGAGAACCUUGGUUUUUUUCCCAAAGAAAAAGAGUUGCCACUGUGAGAAAUAACUGGGAUUUCCUGACAUUAAAAAAUAAUAACAGACAUAUUAGUCCCUUUAUUGUUAAGUAAAAGAAGGAAAUGGGCAGGAACCACUAUGCAUUGAAGAGGAAAGUAUUGAGCUUCCAAAUAUAUCCUGGGAAACAUGUAAUACUUCCCUGAACAUAGGGAAAUGUGGCUGAGAUUCUCAGCACAGAAGUAUGUUUGCCACAUGCAAAGCACAUAAUAGAAGUGAUAGGGACAGGGCAGAGAAAUUCUAGGCAGAAAAAGAUGGGUCCCCAGGGAAACCCCAUCCUUAUGCUGAAAAGCCUGAAACCACAGUCCAAAGUGAGAACUUAUACCCCUGUUUUCCUGCUCAAAUGUUGUCUUUUCCUAAAACCACCCAUGGCUCCCACUCCACCCUAUCCUGUGCCUAUAAAAACCCCAGAUUCAGCUGGUAGACAGGACUACAGCUGGACAUUGGAGAGAAGCAGCUUGACUUCAGAAGGACAGCUUGAUGGCAUAUAACUUCGGAGAAGCAUCCUGCCGGAGACAGCUGGGCUUCAGAGGAAGAUUACCUACCCACUCUGUCCCCUUUUCAGCUCCCCUUCCCACUGAGAGCUACUUUCAUUGGCAAUAAAGUCCCCUGCAUUUAUCAUC